UCNCAGACCGCACCUGCUAAGGAUGG
rnacentral:piRNA from 1 species